AUUGAACGCUGGCGGCAUGCUUUACACAUGCAAGUCGAACGGUAACAGGUUAAGCUGACGAGUGGCGAACGGGUGAGUAAUGCAUCGGAACGUGCCCGGUCGUGGGGGAUAACGCAGCGAAAGUUGCGCUAAUACCGCAUACGAUCUGAGGAUGAAAGCGGGGGACCGUAAGGCCUCGCGCGAUCGGAGCGGCCGCUGUCAGAUUAGGUAGUUGGUGGGGUAAAGGCUCACCAAGCCAACGAUCGGUAGCUGGUCUGAGAGGACGACCAGCCUCACUGGGACUGAGACACGGCCGAGACUCCUACGGGAGGCAGAAGUGGGGAAUUUUGGGCAAUGGGCGGAGGCGUGAUCCAGCAAUGCCGCGUGCAGGGAGAGCGCCUUCGGGUUGUAAACUGCUAUUGUACGGAGCGAAAAGGUCUCCCUUAAGACAGGGGGCUCAUGACGGUACCGUAAGAAUACGCACCGGCUAACUACGUGCCAGCCGCCGCCGUAA
rnacentral:rRNA from 1 species